rnacentral:rRNA from 1 species
AAUGAACGCUGGCGGCAGGCCUAACACAUGCAAGUCGAACGGAUCCUUCGGGAUUAGUGGCGGACGGGUGAGUAACGCGUGGGAACAUACCCUUUGGUACGGAAUAGCCUCGGGAAACUGGGAGUAAUACCGUAUGUGCUCUUCGGAGGAAAGAUUUAUCGCCAAAGGAUUGGCCCGCGUUGGAUUAGGUAGUUGGUGGGGUAAUGGCCUACCAAGCCGACGAUCCAUAGCUGGUUUGAGAGGAUGAUCAGCCACACUGGGACUGAGACACGGCCCAGACUCCUACGGGAGGCAGCAGUGGGGAAUCUUAGACAAUGGGGGAAACCCUGAUCUAGCCAUGCCGCGUGAUCGAUGAAGGCCUUAGGGUUGUAAAGAUCUUUCAGUGGGGAAGAUAAUGACGGUACCCACAGAAGAAGCCCCGGCUAACUCCGUGCCAGCAGCCGCGGUAAU